rnacentral:rRNA from 1 species
AGCGAACGCUGGCGGCAGGCCUAACACAUGCAAGUCGAACGCCCCUUCGGGGGAGUGGCGGACGGGUGAGUAACGCGUGGGAAUGUGCCCUUUGGUACGGAACAACUGAGGGAAACUUCAGCUAAUACCGUAUGUGCCCUACGGGGGAAAGAUUUAUCGCCAUUGGAGCAGCCCGCGUUGGAUUAGGUAGUUGGUGGGGUAAUGGCCCACCAAGCCGACGAUCCAUAGCUGGUCUGAGAGGAUGAUCAGCCACACUGGGACUGAGACACGGCCCAGACUCCUACGGGAGGCAGCAGUGGGGAAUCUUGCGCAAUGGGCGAAAGCCUGACGCAGCCAUGCCGCGUGAAUGAUGAAGGUCUUAGGAUUGUGAAAUUCUUUCACCGGGGAAGAUAAUGACGGUACCCGGAGAAGAAGCCCCGGCUAACUUCGUG